rnacentral:tRNA from 1 species
GGGAUAUGGCGAAAUUGGUAGACGCUACGGACUUCGUCGACUUUAAAAAUCGUGAGGGUUCAAGUCCCUCUAUCCCCA